UGGGGAAUUUUGGACAAUGGGCGAAAGCCUGAUCCAGCAAUGCCGCGUGUGUGAAGAAGGCCUUCGGGUUGUAAAGCACUUUUGUCCGGAAAGAAAUCCUUGGCUCUAAUACAGUCGGGGGAUGACGGUACCGGAAGAAUAAGCACCGGCUAACUACGUGCCAGCAGCCGCGGUAAUACGUAGGGUGCAAGCGUUAAUCGGAAUUACUGGGCGUAAAGCGUGCGCAGGCGGUUUGCUAAGACCGAUGUGAAAUCCCCGGGCUCAACCUGGGAACUGCAUUGGUGACUGGCAGGCUAGAGUAUGGCAGAGGGGGGUAGAGUUCCACGUGUAGCAGUGAAAUGCGUAGAGAUGUGGAGGAAUACCGAUGGCGAAGGCAGCCCCCUGGGCCAAUACUGACGCUCAUGCACGAAAGCGUGGGGAGCAAACAGGAUUAGAUACCCUGGUAGUCCACGCCCUAAACGAUGUCAACUAGUUGUUGGGGAUUCAUUCCUUAGUAACGUAGCUAACGCGUGAAGUUGACCGCCUGGGGAGUACGGUCGCAAGAUUAAAACUCAAAUGAAUUGACGGGGUCAUAGCUGUUUCCU
rnacentral:rRNA from 1 species